GAGCGACCGUCGGGGCCGGCUGGGGCCGGAGCUCGGGGCUCGGUGGGCCUACAGCGGCUCCGGACGGACCCCCGGGGCUGGGGAGUCGGGGAGGCCUGCCCCGGCCCCCUGCCCGCGGCCGCCAUGGCGGAGAAUUGGAAGAACUGCUUCGAGGAGGAGCUCAUCUGCCCUAUCUGCCUGCACGUUUUCGUGGAGCCAGUGCAGCUGCCGUGCAAACACAACUUCUGCCGGGGCUGCAUCGGCGAGGCGUGGGCCAAGGACAGCGGCCUCGUACGCUGCCCAGAGUGCAACCAGGCCUACAACCAGAAGCCGGGCCUGGAGAAGAACCUGAAGCUCACCAACAUCGUGGAGAAGUUCAAUGCCCUGCACGUGGAGAAGCCGCCGGCGGCGCUGCACUGCGUGUUCUGCCGCCGCGGCCCCCCGCUGCCCGCGCAGAAGGUCUGCCUGCGCUGCGAGGCGCCCUGCUGCCAGUCCCACGUGCAGACGCACCUGCAGCAGCCCUCCACCGCCCGCGGGCACCUCCUGGUGGAGGCGGACGACGUGCGGGCCUGGAGCUGCCCGCAGCACAACGCCUACCGCCUCUACCACUGCGAGGCCGAGCAGGUGGCCGUGUGCCAGUACUGCUGCUACUACAGCGGCGCGCAUCAGGGACACUCGGUGUGCGACGUGGAGAUCCGAAGGAAUGAAAUCCGGAAGAUGCUCAUGAAGCAGCAGGACCGGCUGGAGGAGCGAGAGCAGGACAUUGAGGACCAGCUGUACAAACUCGAGUCAGACAAGCGCCUGGUGGAGGAGAAAGUGAACCAACUGAAGGAGGAAGUUCGGCUGCAGUACGAGAAGCUGCACCAGCUGCUGGACGAGGACCUGCGGCAGACAGUGGAGGUCCUAGACAAGGCCCAGGCCAAGUUCUGCAGCGAGAACGCAGCGCAGGCGCUGCACCUCGGGGAGCGCAUGCAGGAGGCCAAGAAGCUGCUGGGCUCCCUGCAGCUGCUCUUUGAUAAGACGGAGGAUGUCAGCUUCAUGAAGAACACCAAGUCUGUGAAAAUCCUGAUGGACAGCAGAUGCCCCGUCCACUGCCCCCAGGACCCAGACCUGCACGAGCAGCAGCCUUUCCCCCACUAAGAUCGGCCACCUGAACUCCAAGCUCUUCCUGAACGAAGUGGCCAAGAAGGAGAAGCAGCUGCGGAAAAUGCUAGAAGGCCCCUUCAGCACGCCGGUGCCCUUCCUGCAGAGUGUCCCCCUGUACCCUUGCGGCGUGAGCAGCUCUGGGGCGGAAAAGCGCAAGCACUCAACGGCCUUCCCAGAGGCCAGUUUCCUAGAGACGUCGUCGGGCCCUGUGGGCGGCCAGUACGGGGCGGCGGGCACAGCCAGCGGUGAGGGCCAGUCUGGGCAGCCCCUGGGGCCCUGCAGCUCCACGCAGCACUUGGUGGCCCUGCCGGGCGGCGCCCAACCAGUGCACUCAAGCCCCGUGUUCCCCCCAUCGCAGUAUCCCAAUGGCUCCGCCGCCCAGCAGCCCAUGCUCCCCCAGUAUGGCGGCCGCAAGAUUCUCGUCUGUUCUGUGGACAACUGUUACUGUUCUUCCGUGGCCAACCAUGGCGGCCACCAGCCCUACCCCCGCUCCGGCCACUUUCCCUGGACAGUGCCCUCGCAGGAGUACUCACACCCGCUCCCGCCCACACCCUCCGUCCCCCAGUCCCUUCCCAGCCUGGCGGUCAGAGACUGGCUUGACGCCUCCCAGCAGCCCGGCCACCAGGAUUUCUACAGGGUGUAUGGGCAGCCGUCCACCAAACACUACGUGACGAGCUAACGCCACGCAGGCGGCGGGGCGCUGGGGAAUCUUCCUCCCCAGCCCCCGGGCUCGGGAGUUAUGCAUCCAGAGACCUGCCCUUCUACCUUCCUCGCCUCCCCUCUUCCUCAUUCCAUUGCCCCAGGUCUUUUCCUUUUGGAUUUUGUUUUGGUUUUGGCUUUGUUUUUGAUUUUUUUUUAUUAUGAAUCUCCUGGACGCAGAGGUGACAGUGGGAGCUGGCCUGGGCCAGGACGGCAGGUGGCCCUGGAGAUGGGAAAGUGUCUGUGUCGAGGCGCUGAGCUCUCUCUCUGUUUCUCCUUUUUUCCUCUACUCCUUCCCCUUCACACCCCCGUGGCUGGAAGGAACCUCGGCUUCCCUGAAAGCUUGGGGGUCCCACCCUUCUUACCCCACCCGGGAGGAACGCCCAGGGCCCCGGGCUUGUUUCUCCUCUUGUUUUCCUUUUGGGCAGUUUGAUCACUGAUCGAGUAAGGAAUGACCUUUAGAUUGUGCGACUUUUGUUUUUGUUUUUUUAAAUUUUUUUAAACCAAGAAUGAUUUCUCCUGCUUCCUUCUCCUCACCAUCUUCCCAGACGGAGUUCAAAGGCCACUUCUCAAGCAGCUUUUGGCACCUUCAGCCUCAGAGUGGAAUCUUUUAAAGACAGGACCCCUAUGUCCAGGAAAGGGGAAAAGGAACUUUGCCAAUGAUAGUGACCACAGCAAAAGCAAAUAAUAAUAAUAUUAAUAAUAAUAAAGAGAAAUAAAAUAAUAAAAUAAAAAACAAUAGCACAGCCCUUGUUGAGGUCAGCAGGGAGGAGGGGCUGCCCGGAGUUGGGUCCUUGCCUGGAUUUUGACACAGCAACUUCCUGUAGUGAGCACUUUGUAUGAAUCGUGGACUUCCUGUUCUCAAGGCGCAGGUAUUUAUUCUGUAUCUGUCUAGAGCACACACCAAAAUCCAACCUUCUAAUAAACAUGAUGGCGCAGUCCCAC